GAUGAACGCUAGCGGCAGGCCUAACACAUGCAAGUCGAACGGUAACAGAGGGAGCUUGCUCCCUGCUGACGAGUGGCGCACGGGUGCGUAACGCGUAUACAACCUACCUUUUACAGGGGGAUAGCCCAGAGAAAUUUGGAUUAAUACCCCAUGGUAUUGAGAAUUGGCAUCGAUUUUCAAUUAAAGAUUUAUCGGUAAAAGAUGGGUAUGCGUUCUAUUAGCUAGUAGGUAGGGUAACGGCCUACCUAGGCAACGAUAGAUAGGGGCCCUGAGAGGGGGAUCCCCCACACUGGUACUGAGACACGGACCAGACUCCUACGGGAGGCAGCAGUGAGGAAUAUUGGACAAUGGAGGCAACUCUGAUCCAGCCAUGCCGCGUGCAGGAAGACUGCCCUAUGGGUUGUAAACUGCUUUUAUACGGGAAGAAACACCGCUACGUGUAGCGGCUUGACGGUACCGUAAGAAUAAGGAUCGGCUAACUCCGUG
rnacentral:rRNA from 1 species